rnacentral:rRNA from 1 species
UACGGAGGGGGCUAGCGUUGUUCGGAAUUACUGGGCGUAAAGCGCGCGUAGGCGGACCUGCAAGUCGGGGGUGAAAUCCUGGAGCUCAACUCCAGAACUGCCUUUGAUACUGGGGAUCUUGAGUUCGGGAGAGGUGAGUGGAACUGCGAGUGUAGAGGUGAAAUUCGUAGAUAUUCGCAAGAACACCAGUGGCGAAGGCGGCUCACUGGCCCGAUACUGACGCUGAGGCACGAAAGCGUGGGGAGCAAACAGG